ensembl:lncRNA
CCUCAAUCAGCAUUUUACAUUCAUUACUGCAUGUCUGCAAUUUUUCUUUUUUUAUUAAAGAACGCCAUCAGGCCAUUAAAUAUUAACAAAAUGAAGAAGAAAAAAAAAAGAACUCUCAGGCCGGAUGACAGACGCUAAAUCAAUAUCUCGAUAUUUAUUCAGCUACAUACCUUAAUUUUGUAACCUGUCAUAUUUUUUUUUUCAGGUCCAGGCCAUUACAAGCAUUCCAACAGCCUUCUACUGACAAUGUCCUAGCCUGUGCACUUACACUGGUCGGCAGAGGUUUUAUAGUUCAUGUCGUAAACUCUCCAGCGAUCCGACAGGACUGCUGACUGCAGGCUAGGUCGGCUUUGGCAGUCGUCAUGUGUUUUCUGCUGUGUUUGGUUUGGCCAGCAUCCCCCACGGCUUGAAUGUUGACACAUUCAUAAACAAUACCUGACGUGUCCCAGGUUAAAGAGUAAAACAGAGCAAAGCCCUGACAAAGAUAAGUGGCCUUAUAGACACUUAUAGACCGCGUUGUGGUAUAAAAUCCUCCUGUGCGAGUGGGUUCUCGUCAUUCACCUGGCCAAUUCGUCUCGCCUGCGUGAGAGCGCGCCUUCACAUGAUACCUGCUCUGUUCUCGUGUUGAAAUACAGUACUUUCUGUUGGUCAAGCAUCAGACACCAGAGUGACACACAUCCUUGUUUUGGGCUAAGAGAGGAAACACUAAUUAGUGGCUCUCUGAAUGGAAAAGCUGUGUGUGUGUGUGCUGUUUUAUGUCCUUGUCACACUCUCUCACGCUUCCCCUCCGCGCCCCACUGGUGUCUGUCCUGCAGGACAGUCUCAGCCCUACAAGGUUAGGACAAGAGGAACUAUUUUUGCAUUACUAUAACUUUUUGCGUUACUAUUCAGCUAGGGACCAACUUCCGUGUUCAGUUACUAAAGGGGGUGACUGAGAGCAGCGCAAAAACAUCGCCGUCAUAGUGAAAUAUUAACACAAUCGGAAUGCAUUUCUGCAGGCUAACGCAUGAAAACGUAGCAUUACUGCUUUAUUACGACUCUAUUCCAUUGGGCGUUUGAAAGGAUUCUUUUCUACAGCCAGUUACAAUUUGAUAUCCUGAACACUGGGCAACGUUUUCCAGCAACAUGCUGGUCCCAAUCAUUUGUUUAUUCUCAAACAGUUCCAUGUGGAAUCUUGUGUUGUCCUGACCUUGGAGUGUUGAACCUAGACUCAACUAAACAGGAAAAGAAGAGGCAAGGCUUUGUCUAUAAUGAGUGUGCGCUCUGUGUUUGUGAGCGUCCGCGUAUGUGUGUGAAGGCGCAUACGUGUCCACUGUUCAGCCACAGCUGCCCACUGCUCGAAAACAGGCAACCGAAAAGGCCGGAAUGUAAACAGCUUUGAAGUCUUAUAGUCUCUCCAUUUCUCCUCUGUUCCUCUGAGCCGAGGGCGUGGGGCCGUUGAGGCGGAGAGAGAAGUCUCUCAUCUGCCCCAACAGAGCCAGUAGCUACAGUGAAAAUGGCCCCUUGAACUCUUUAAAUGUUCACGUCCACCUAAAACAGAGAAUGCGGUCAUUAAAGUUCCAGGCAUUCCUUUAAACGUACCACCUCAAAGGAAAGGACCUGGUGGCACAAGUUGAACCAACAACAUAUAUUAUUUUAGUGCUCUGCCUGCUCUAAACUGUGCUUUUCAAUGACAAUUUUCAAGC